rnacentral:rRNA from 1 species
UAAUUAAAAAAUUAUUUUUAAUAUUUGAUAUUUAUAUAAAAAUAAUUUAUUUUUUAGUAUAUUUUAUUGAAAUAAUUAAAUUUAAUUAUAGUUUAUUUUACUGUAUAGGAUAAUUUUAAUUUUUUAUAAGUAUAUAUUUAUAUAGUACCUUUUGUAUCAGGGUUUAUUAAAUAUUUUUUAUAAAUAUAAGUAUCUCGAAACUAAAAGAUUUAAGUUUUUAUGUUGAUUUAUGUUAUAAAAUGAUCAUUAAUAAAGACUUGGGGGUUAUAUACUAUUCAAUUUUAGAUAUCUAGUUACCUAAUAUAUGAAUUUAAUUCAGGAAUAUUAUAGUUAAUAGUGAUUUUUAUUUUUAUUAUUUUAAUUUUCUAAUAUUAUGGGGGAUUAGCUCUAUAAUAUUUUUAUAAUAUAAUUUUUUUUAAGAAUAGUAGGAUUAAAAAUUUCCGUCAUAAAAAUUUUUUAAUAAUUUAUCUUAUUUAUUUAUUUAUUUAUUUAUAUUUAAUUUUUUAUUAGGUUUAUAUAUUUAUUUUUUUAAUAUAUAUAAUUAUGAUAAUAUUAGUAGUAUUAAAAAUUUAUAUAUAGUAAUUCGGCAAAUAUUGUUUCCGCCUGUUUAACAAAAACAUGUCUUAUUGGUAUUAUAUUAUAAGUCUAUCCUGCUCAAUGAUUAUUUAAAUAGCUGCAGUAUAUUAACUGUACAAAGGUAGCAUAAUAAUUUGUCUUUUAAAUGGAGGCUGGUAUGAAUGGUUGGACGAGAAAUAUACUUUCUUUAUAUAAAUAUUAUUGAAUUUAAUUUUUUAGUGAAAAAGCUAAAAUUUAUUUAUAAGACGAGAAGACCCUAUAGAAUUUUACUAUUUGUAUAAAAUUGAUUAAAAUAUUAAUUUUUUUAUUUUAUUUUUAUAGUUUGGUUGGGGUGACUACGAUAAAUAUAUAACUUUUGUUAUUUUAUAUCAUUAAUUAGUGUAUAUAAUGAUCCAAUAAUUAUUGAUUAUAAGAUUAAAUUACCUUAGGGAUAACAGCGUAAUUCUUUUGGAGAGUUCAAAUCGAUAAAGUGAGUUUGCGACCUCGAUGUUGGAUUAAAGUUAGGUUUAGGUGUAGAUGCUUAAAUUUUUAGGUCUGUUCGACCUUUAAAUCUUUACAUGAUCUGAGUUCAGACCGGCGUGAGCCAGGUUGGUUUCUAUCUAUAAAUUUUUUUAAUAUUUUAGUACGAGAGGACCAUUUAUUAUUAAUAUUUAAUUUUGUUUGAUUUAUAUU